CAGCCGCCGCGGGAAUACGAAGGGGGCUAGCGUUGCUCGGAAUGACUGGGCGUAAAGGGUGCGUAGGCGGCUUGACAAGUCUUGUGUGAAAUCUAUGGGCUCAACCCAUAGUCUGCACGGGAAACUGUCGGGCUUGAGAAUGGGAGAGGUGAGUGGAAUUUCCGGUGUAGCGGUGAAAUGCGUAGAUAUCGGAAGGAACACCUGUGGCGAAAGCGGCUCACUGGACCAUUUCUGACGCUGAUGCACGAAAGCUAGGGGAGCAAACAGGAUUAGAUACCCGUGUAGUCCCUGUCUCUUAUAC
rnacentral:rRNA from 1 species